AUUGUUACAUCUUCCUGGCUGGUCUCUCCUCCCUCCCAAGGCCUCCUGCUUCUCCCUCUGCUGGAAUAAUGACUUUGUACUGAAUUCUCACAGGAAGUCUCAGACGAAGACACUGCCAACUCCACUUUCAGAGAGAAACGCUGAUGCUCAGAGCUAAACUAACUUGCCUCAGAGCCCACAUCCUGGACUUGAGCUUCAGGGUGUCGCACACCAAAGACCGUCCUCUUCACACCAGCUUCCUGGGCAUUGGAGCGGAUCCACAGUGUCAGAUGUGCAGUGAAAAUGGCCCCCAUUCCAAGCCACUUCCUGACCUGAUGGCGGCACCCUGCUAGUCCUCACGUGGAGCCCUGGGGAAGUGGGGUUUCUUAACCCAGAUUCAAAUCAAUAACCUCACAUCUGGUAUGCACAUCCAGGCCAAGUGUGGCUGAAUAGGGAGCAUCUCUUCUGAAGACGGCCACCCUCAUGGGCUCCUCUGCUUCCUGUCCCUUCGGGCACUGAUUUAUGGCAGACAGCAGGGAAUGGCCUGAGCUUGAGCCUUGACAGUCGUCAUCAUCACCAUCCUCGUUUGAGGGCCGUGAAGAACAUUCUGAAAGUAGAGAUGAAGGUCUUCUUUCUGAGUGAAGCUCCUUGCAUGAUUCAGGGGCCUUACUCUUGAAGGCACCAAUCGUUUUGACUUUAAUGCAUGCACUCUGACUUAUUUGUGGUGAUCUCUUCUGGCAACACAUGGAAAAAUGAAAAAUAGGCUAACUGGGAAGAUUUCUUAAAUACUAGUUUGUAUGGCUGUGUUAACCUGAAUGAUUAAAUAUAGAAUUGUUUUUUAAGUUA